CAAAUUAACGUCCGAUGUCAUUUUGGAAAUGAUUUCGUAGGCGUGGGCACGAAUACGAAGCUUGAAGGAGUUGUGGAAUUAGUUCGAACGAUUUUAUUUCGAAAACGAACGUUAUUUAGGGGGUCUUAAAAAGUGACUUCUUAUACGUACAGAAUUUGGGAAAACUUUCUUCAUGAAAGUUGUAGAGCUCGUCGAUACGAUCUCGUGCGUAUGUUGAACGCAAUAUUCGGAGUUUGUAUGAAUAAGUUAUGAAUAUUUGAAAAUCGGGAUUUUUUUUCUAUAAAUAUGGAGAAUUUCUGGAAUUUUUCUUAAAUCCCAAAAUUUCCUAUUCUUUCUAUUUUCUCCCCCGGUUUUCUCUCUUCUCUCUCCUCUCCCCCGACCUUUUUCUCUUCUUUCUGGGCGUUCUUCCUCUGCCAGCAGCGCCACCGUCCGGCCACCUCAAGCCGCUCUCGAGGUGUCCACGGCUUCGCCUCGACGUCGUCUAGCUACUGGACGUGACCACUUUCCCCGGAACGGCCUCAAAUCCGGCAAACCGGAGCUGCAAGGUUUGAGCCAAAAACAGUCAACGCCGGUUUUCUCCUAAUUCCGGCCACCAAAACUCACGAUCCUUAGCUCCCUGAACUCACCUCAACAUGCUGAUCAUCAUCCUAGAAGGAUCGCACCUGGAGUGACCGGAUUCACGUUCGUCGGAGCUCGGCCGGCUUUAAUUCGAAAACCACCUUCGAAUCCGAUUUUCUCGAGUUAUAGACCACCUUUUCUUGUGAUUCUUGGCCUGGUGAGUUCACCUUGAGAUUAUUAACAACUCUCAAGAAGGGAUCGAGGCCUGAGGUUGAAGUUUUUACGUCGGAAUUCAAGCUCGCCGGAUUCUGGAAAAUUUCCGACCACGAAGACUUUCGAUCAAGAUAUCGCGAGCUGUAGUGCAUCGUUUUGAUUGAUUCUUUUUCCAGUGGGUUCCCCUUGAUGUUGUUAACAACUCUCUAGAAGGCAUCGAGGCCUGAAAUUGAAUCUUUGACGUCGAAAUCGAGCCUUGCCGGAUUCUGCAAAAUUCUGGAAUUUUUCCGACCACCGAAGCUUUCGAUCGGUAUAUCUCGAGCUACAGACCAUAUUUUUCUGUGAUUCUUGAACCAGUGAGUUCUUCUUGAGUUUCUUAACAACUCUUCAGAAGGAAUCGAAGCCUUAAAUUGACGUUUUUACGUCGAAUUGGAGCUCGCCGUUUUCUGCAGUUUCUCGCCGGUUUCUGGAAAAUUCCGGCCACCUUCAUACUGUUCAAGGUGAUUGACGGUUUGAGUUGGCGGACGAUUGUGAAUCGUAUUUUGAGCUGUUAAGAAGACGCAGCGGGAUUAGAGCGGGUAAUCCUACAGGUCAGGAGAACCAGGACGGUGAUCGGGCUGCUUAGAGUAGUGUUAUGUGAAUUACAGCAUUAUAUUGUGAGGUUUGUUAUGCUCAUUUAGAGCUUUACGAUUUUACUUUGUAAGAGUGAAUUGUAAUAAUUAACUCGAGGUUUUUCGAGUUUUGUGUUGA